rnacentral:rRNA from 16 species
GGAUGCGAUCAUACCAGCACUAAAGCACCGGAUCCCAUCAGAACUCCGAAGUUAAGCGUGCUUGGUCGAGAGUAUUACUAGGAUGGGUGACCUCCUGGGAAGUCCUCGUGUUGCAUUCC